rnacentral:rRNA from 1 species
UGCAUAUCAAUAAGCGGAGGAAAAGAAACUAACAAGGAUUCCCCUAGUAACGGCGAGUGAAGCGGGAAAAGCUCAAAUUUGUAAUCUGGCGCCUUCGGCGUCCGAGUUGUAAUCUCGAGAAGUAUUUUCCGCGCUGGACCGCACAUAAGUCUGUUGGAAUACAGCGUCAUAGUGGUGAGAACCCCGUAUAGGGUGCGGAUGCCCAGUGCUUUGUGAUAUACUUUCGAAGAGUCGAGUUGUUUGGGAAUGCAGCUCAAAUGGGGUGGUAAAUUCCAUCUAAAGCUAAAUAUUGGCGAGAGACCGAUAGCGAACAAGUACCGUGAGGGAAAGAUGAAAAGCACUUUGGAAAGAGAGUUAACAGUACGUGAAAUUGUUGGAAGGGAAACGCUUGAAGUCAGACUUGCAUUUUGGAGUUCAGCCGCAAGGUGUAUUCUUCAAUUCGCAGGCCAGCAUCAGUUUCUGGGGGUGGAAAAGCGCGGCUGGAAGGUGGCAGUCUCGGCUGUGUUAUAGCUGGCCGCUGGAUUCACUUUUGGGGACUGAGGAACGCAGUACGCUUUUUGCAAGACCCUCGGGUCUUUCGUACUUAGGAUGCUGGUGGAAUGGCUUUAAACGACCCGUCUUGAAACACGGACCA